CUGGUAGCUUGCUACCGGGUAUGACUGAGCGGCGAACGGGUGAGUAACACGUGGGUAAUCUACCUGGAAGUCUGGGAUAACAGUUGGAAACGGCUGCUAAUACCGGAUAAAAUUGGUGAUAUAGAGUCAUCAAUCAAAGCGUUACGGAGUGCUUUCAGAUGAGCCCGCGUCCCAUUAGUUAGUUGGUAGGGUAAAGGCCUACCAAGGCGACGAUGGGUAGCCGGUCUGAGAGGAUGGUCGGCCACACUGGAACUGAGACACGGUCCAGACUCCUACGGGAGGCAGCAGUGGGGAAUAUUACGCAAUGGGCGAAAGCCUGACACAACAACGCCGCAUAAGCGAUGAAAACCUUCGGGUCGUAAAGCUCUGUCAAAAAAGAAGAAUUCAUGACGGUACCCUCAAAAAAAGCCCCGGCUAACUACGUGCCAGCAACCACAAUAAGACAUAAAAAACGAGCGUUGUCCGGAAUUACUAAACGUAAAAAACGUAUAGGCAACUUAGCAAGUCAAUAAUGAAAGACCUGGGCUCAACCCAGGCAGUGCCAUUGAAACUACUUUACUUGAAAAUAGAAGAGGAGUAUGGAAUUCCCGGUGUAACGAUGAAAUGCG
rnacentral:rRNA from 1 species